GUGCUAACUUCCGCAGCACGUAUACUAAAAGUGGAACAAAACAGAGAAGAUUAGCAUGGUCCUUGUGCAAAGAUAACAGGCUGAUUCAUGAAGCGUUCCAUAUUUUU
ensembl:snRNA U6 U6 spliceosomal RNA